CGAAGAACCUUACCUACUCUUGACAUCCAGAGAACUUUCCAGAGAUGGAUUGGUGCCUUCGGGAACUCUGAGACAGGUGCUGCAUGGCUGUCGUCAGCUCGUGUUGUGAAAUGUUGGGUUAAGUCCCGCAACGAGCGCAACCCUUAUCCUUGUUUGCCAGCGAGUAAUGUCGGGAACUCCAGGGAGACUGCCGGUGAUAAACCGGAGGAAGGUGGGGACGACGUCAAGUCAUCAUGGCCCUUACGAGUAGGGCUACACACGUGCUACAAUGGCGCAUACAGAGGGCGGCCAACUUGCGAAAGUGAGCGAAUCCCAAAAAGUGCGUCGUAGUCCGGAUUGGAGUCUGCAACUCGACUCCAUGAAGUCGGAAUCGCUAGUAAUCGUGGAUCAGAAUGCCACGGUGAAUACGUUCCCGGGCCUUGUACACACCGCC
rnacentral:rRNA from 1 species